UGGCUCUCUCGCUCGCUCGCUCGCUCUACCCCAGACCUCGCUCAGACGAAGAGCGCCAAUCGCCGCCCCAGUCCACCGCGCUGCGGGGCGCAGGGAAGGCCGGCCGAAGGCUUGAACCCUCGGCCGGCUGCGUGGAGUCCCGCGAUGUCCCGGCGAUGACAGGGUGGCUUGGCCCCAGGAAAAAGACGCGGGGCCGGGAGCGCCGCCACUCCCGCGCUUUCGUCUCCAGCGGCCCGGUUCUCCCGGACGCUGCGCCCCCCGCGGCGGGUCCGUCUGCACCCCAAGACUAGGGCUGGGCGAGCGGAUCCCGGGACUGGCUCUGCGAGCUUGCCCGGGGUCCGAAAUCGCCGACAGCGUCCCGGGCCCGGCAGGUCGAUCUCCGGCCGCGCGGAGAGAUCUGGCCCGCAGGCGAGCAACCAGGACUGUAGUGUUGGGUCAUUUCAUUUUCCUCGAACCCCGAGCAACUCUUCGGGCCCUCAGGGUCUUUGCUGCGCCCGCGGCGGGCUCGUGGCCACUCUCCCAGGGUCUGGGCAGAGGUUCCCGCAGCCCUGCCCGGAAGAAAGCAAUGAAUAAAUGCGGCUCGCGGGCUAGUUCACGGAAGACCAAGCCUAAGCUGAUGGGUCAGUGGACCUGUUCCCAGAAAGUUCUGGACCUCGUCAAAACGGCGGAUGUUAGCGCGGGUGGGUGUGGGUCACCCCUUGCUGCUGCUGGGAGCUCAGGGGGACCCAAGGGCGCCGGGCAGGUGACUGGGUGGGAAAGGCACGGACUGGCGCGCUGGGUGGCUCAGACCCUUUCCUAAGGGGACAAAACGGAGGGAGAAAGCGGCUUCCAGGGAUGGUGGCAGAAGACUCCAGAGCCUGCUGGCUGAGCUCUUUUCACUCGCUCAGGAAUGUAGUGUGGCUUUUCCGUUCGGUAUAGCUGGCGUGUGUAGGGUUGGGUGAAUUGACUGUCCCUUCCUUGCCACCCCUCCUCCCGAUCUGUACCCCGCUUCUGAAUUGGUCAACUUCUCCCAGAGAAAUAGAUACACGGCAUUCUCUCUCUCUCUCUCUCUCUCUCUCUCCCUCUCUCUCUCUCUCUAAAUGAUAUGAAACAAAACAAUUCACAGUACACUGAAAUAGCCUGACAUAAAAAGAUAUCUCUGCCUGAGCUAUCUCUUAGAAUUGACACUCUCUAAAAAAAAAAAAAAAAAAAAAAAUGAGAGGGUAUUUUUGUUUGUCUUUCUUCAGAGCUGUGCUGGGGCAGACUUGCUAGGCAAGCACUCUGCAUGUGAGCCACAGGCCCAACCCAGCCUGAUGUACCUUCUACUUGAAAUUGAGUUACUUUUUAUGUUCACUACCAGCAGCAGCAAGAAUACUAUGUUGACAGUUUUGCUUGUUGCUUUGGCUAGCCUUGAACUCACAGCAAUCCUCCUGGCUCAAUAAUUUGUAUUUCUUAAUAAUUUGUAGUUUCUUUCCUCCUCCUCCUCCUCCUUCUCCCCCCCCCUCUCUCUCUCUGGUGUGUGUGUUUCGGGGGACUUCGGGUAUUGACCCUAUGCACAUGGUAAGCAAGCACUGUACCACUGAACUAUAUUCCUAGCCUCCACCUUCCUUAGUUGUGAAUUUAUUUUCAGAGAACUGGGAAGAUGCUACAUAUUUUGAUUGUGCUUUUUUUUUUUUUGAUAAUGUCCAUAUAGCCCAGGCAUGCCUCAAAUUCCUUAUAUAGUCAUGAUGGUUAACCUUCAACUUUUCAUCCUCCUGCCUCUACCUUCCGAAUGCUGGAAUUACAGGAACAGGGCAUUGUGUUUAGCUCUAUGCUUUUAUUUUUAAUAGUCAAAAUAAAAUAUAUAAGUGUAAUUAAAUUCAUUCAGAUCCCUGUCCAGGAACAGAUGAAACAAUAAACUGGGACGUGUAGAGCAGAUGUGGUGGUGUAUGCUUGCACUGGAGAGGCAGGCACAGGAAGGUAGUUAACAAAUUUGAGGACAGCCUGCUUUAAAUAGCACAUUCUAGGCUUAAAGGACAUAGGGAGACCUUGUCUUAAAUAAACAAAAUAAAUAAAAGUUUGGAAAAUAACUUAAAUGCUGAAAUAAAUAAACAAGAUGUUGUUCAGUAAAUUCAGAAAA